GACGUAGGAUGCAAGCGUUGUCCGGAUUUAUUGGGCGUAAAGAGUUCGUAGGCGGUUUAUUAAGUCUGAUGUUAAAGAUCGGGGCCUAACCCCGGGAGUGCAUUGGAUACUGGUAGACUAGAGUGCGGUAGAGGUAAGUGGAAUUCCUGGAGUAGCGGUGAAAUGCGUAGAUAUCAGGAAGAACACCGGUGGCGUAGGCGACUUACUGGGCCGUAACUGACGCUGAGGAACGAAAGCCAGGGGAGCGAAUGGG
rnacentral:rRNA from 1 species